GCAGUGAUGGUGGUUAGGUGGUGCUUACAUGUAACAGUUUGCAGCUGUGGUUCCCAUGAGCAAACUCUUGAGCCUGAUAAGGAGCCCUGCUGACAGCAAGAAGUCUCCUAGAUGUUAUGCAUGAAUACAAUCUGGAGUAGAAACUCAAUUGUCCUAUAAAUCAGACACGCUACAGAAGUCUCUGCUUCCAGUACAGCCACAUUCCCAAGUCUUCCCCUGAAGGCGGUGUGGCAGCAACUUGACUUUAGUAUCUCCCCAGCACACAUGAGGUGUACCUGGUUCUCGUGUUCCAGGCAAACACCUACUUCAGCUGUAAACUCUUCUGACAUUUCUGACAGAGAAAUUCCCCUGCUGAGUAAUCAUUUCUUUUCCAUGGAUCCAAGAUUACCUCCGCUCAUUUCUUUGUAGGCAGGGUAAGCAUUUGUCUCUCUUCCUUCAGCUGAGCUGCUGUGUGUGUCCAUCACUGGCACAUCAGGC